UAAAUUGCCCAAUCCCGACACGGGGAGGUAGUGACGAUAAAUACUGAUACAGGGCUCUUUAGGGUCUUGUAAUUGGAAUGAGUACAAUUUAAACCCCUUAACGAGGAACAAUUGGAGGGCAAGUCUGGUGCCAGCAGCCGCGGUAAUUCCAGCUCCAAUAGCGUAUAUUAAAGUUGUUGUGGUUAAAAAGCUCGUAGUUGAACCUUGGGCCUGGCUGGCCGGUCCGCCUCACCGCGUGCACUGGUCCGGCCGGGCCUUUCCCUCUGUGGAACCCCAUGCCCUUCACUGGGUGUGGCGGGGAAACAGGACUUUUACUUUGAAAAAAUUAGAGUGCUCCAGGCAGGCCUAUGCUCGAAUACAUUAGCAUGGAAUAAUAAAAUAGGACGCGCUGUUCUAUUUUGUUGGUUUCUAGGACAGCCGUAAUGAUUAAUAGGGACAGUCGGGGGCAUCAGUAUUCAAUUGUCAGAGGUGAAAUUCUUGGAUUUAUUGAAGACUAACUACUGCGAAAGCAUUUGCCAAGGAUGUUUUCAUUAAUCAGGAACGAAAGUUAGGGGAUCGAAGACGAUCAGAUACCGUCGUAGUCUUAACCGUAAACGAUGCCGACUAGGGAUCGGACGGUGUUAUUAUUUGACCCGUUCGGCACCUUACGAGAAAUCAAAGUGCUUGGGCUCCAGGGGGAGUAUGGUCGCAAGGCUGAAACUUAAAGAAAUUGACGGAAGGGCACCACCAGGGGUGGAGCCUG
rnacentral:rRNA from 1 species